CUACUGCAUCAGAGGAGGAAAGAGGGACAGAGUGAGUAAACGGAUAAACAGACAGAGAGCGAAGGAAUUUCUGAUCCACUGAGCUGGGGAGAGGAAACGCUCUGUGUUGCAGGAUGGAGAAAUUACAUGAGCAGGACUGAGAGGGGAGACAGAGGGGAGAGAUGAGUGACACAGCAGGGACACAAAAAGAAUCACGGGAACUCAAAGAGAUCCUUGGACGGUUGACAAAAAAGGAGAUUUGCGCUCUUCAAAACAUGACAUGAGUGUAACAGCAACAGUUCAGGUCAGUGGUUCCUGUUUCUGUCACAGGGGGGAGGAAAAGGGGAAACAAGGACAGGUAAUAGCAAAUGUAAAAAAGUGAUAGAUGUAAAAGGGAAAGAGGAUUUGUUUCAGAUCAUGUACAUGCUUCUCUAUUGGAUCUCACUGUUGUAGUAGAACGUUUGGAGCACUUUGGCCACAAGGAGCGGCGAGAGAGGGAGGCAAAGACCAAAAAAGGUCUGGAGUCAGAGCUGGAGAAACUGCAGGCUUGACAGAUGCUGCAAAGCCAUGGGGAGAGGAGAAGGGAGACAGGCAGACACAUAGAGACAAACAGGGAGGAGGAAGAUAACGUAAGUGACCGUUAACUAUAAGAAACUUGGGGUGGGGCUAGGUGCGAUCCACAAAGAGUUCCAGAGAGCCAGUGUGUGUGACCAAGGGGGGUCAGUUGGGUCAGUCCAAAGAAGAAAGUGAGGGCUGGCUGUUACUGUAAAUGUGAUUCAGCGAUUCUGAACUGUUAACCCGGCGGAAGAAGACCUUUACUGUAAAUCCUACACCAUGGACACCAGGUUUUCAAAGAAAUUCUAAGCCAAACGGACCCCUCACCCAUUGGGCACCAUGUCGACGGGGCCUGGCCUUGGUGCACUUGUCCCGGCCGAGGGGCCCCAGUCCACGGGGCCUGUUGGGCUCCAGACCCUGUUGGACCUGCUGGUGGGCGUCUACCAGGAGUUCUACUCCUCGCACUUUGCAAGGGAGAAGUACGUCUCUGGCUUCCUGCAAUGGGCCGAGCCCCUGGUGAGGCAGGUGAGAAGGACUCGCAUCAAAAGGGAAGACUUUCACAUCCUGAAGGUGAUUGGCCGAGGCACAUUCAGUGAGGUUGCUGUAGCAAGGAUGAGAAGCACACAGCAAGUGUAUGCUCUGAAGAUUAUGAAUAAGUGGGACAUGCUGAGGCGAGGAGAGACAGCGUGUUACCAGGAGGAGAGGGAGGUGUUACUCAGGGGCGACCGAUGCUGGAUCACAGAGCUGCACUAUGCCUUUCAGGAUGACAACUACCUGUACCUGGUGAUGGAUUACUAUGUAGGGGGGGACCUGCUGACUCUGCUCAGUAAGUUUGGAGACCGGAUCCCUGAGGACAUGGCUCAGUUCUACCUCGCUGAAAUGAUCAUGGCAAUUGACUCUAUCCACAGACUGGGAUACGUACACAGAGACAUCAAACCUGACAACAUCCUACUGACAGCGGACGGACACAUAAGACUAGGGGACUUUGGUUCGUGUCUGAGGCUCUUCGAGGAUGGGAUGGUUCACUCGUCCCUAGCAGUAGGGACCCCUGACUAUUUGUCUCCAGAGAUUUUAAGGGCCGUAGAGGGUGGAGGAGGUUAUGGUCCUGAGUGUGACUGGUGGGCUCUGGGUAUCUGUGCCUAUGAAAUGAUGCUGGGGACCACACCCUUCUUUGCAGAGUCCAUAUCGCAAACAUACGCCAAGAUCAUCAACUUUCAGGAGUAUUUCGAAUUCCCUUCUUCUGGCCCAGAGAUUUCAGACAAGGCUCGCUCCUUCAUCACUGGGCUCAUCUGUGAGAGGGAAGUCCGUCUGGGAAGGAAAGGCUUCAGUGAGUUCAGGAGCAAUCCCUUCUUCUGUGGACUGGACUGGGCUUCCCUGCAUAAACUCCCUGCCCCCUUCCUGCCUGAAGUGUCCAAUCCAACGGACACCUCCAACUUUGACAUCCUGGAUGACUGUCUCAGUGAAAUGGAGACGCUGUCUGAUGUAAUGGACAGAGCUCCAAUAGGGGUACACUUGGCUUUUGUUGGAUACUCUUACACCGCUACCUGUCAGACGGGUGCCAUCGACCGCAGUCGAGACAUCAUGAUGCAGAUUGACCACUCCAGUCUCAGGGACUGUGAGAGUCGCUACACACCAGAGAAACAGAGUCAGCAGUGGCAGCUCACAGACAAUCUUCCAGAUGACCUGUCUGCCCUGCUGGAGCUUCCACUCACUUUAAAACAAGGUCCUACUGCAUCCACCCACACCACCACUGAAGAAGAGGAGGACGAGGAGGAUGAGGAGGAUGAGGAGGAGACUGACCAAAUAUCCGGACUCCAUGAAGACUUGCAGAGGCGGUUACAGGAAGCAGAGAGGAGAUACUGCGAGCUGGAGAAAGAAAUGGAAAGGUUGAAGGGGGAGAUGCAGGACUGGAGAGCCCCGAGGGAGACAGCACUGAGUCUCUGCCCAGCAUCUCUUGCUCUGCCUGCCCACUGUGUGGACGCACCAAGGGAUGUAAGCCUAACUUUUUUCCUCUUUCAUGUUCUCUUUCUCUGCCUGACAUGGAAAAAUAAAAACUCUUUUGAAACAGCAUGUAACCUGUUGGAUUCUCUGAUGAAUCUUUGCAUUUGUUGCAUAAGUAAGAUUUGCAAACAGAGAUUAAUCCUGUAUGACACAAGAUGUACAACUGGCUAAGCAUUUAAUAGCCAAAAUCUUUAUUUAUGUUUCUACAAAGCUGCUGUCUGUUCACUAGUCUGUUGCAUGUGUUACAGAGGGAGAGAGCGCCCCCUUCCUGCCAUUACCCACUGGUGAUUCCUCUCCAUCGGCACCUGCUCCUGUUCCACAGGGUUCGCCUGCCACAGGUGACGAGUGAGUCAUACCUGCUGGUGUGUGCCAAAGGGGGGGAGCUCCAAGCAUGGCAGAGACACUGUUACACUGAGCUCUCCUGAAUGUACUUUCAAGGUGGCAUAUCAUGACUUCUCCUACCAUAACAAGACAAAGGAUUGAGGCCACGCUUUGCCAAGAAGAGGAAAAGCAGGACUGCAAGGGGAGCUGCUGAAGGUGUCAGUACUGUACACGGUUUUUUAAAUUAAGUUUUCCAACUGAUAUGAGGAGAAAGGGGGCUCAGACUGCUGGGAGCUAAUGAGGAAGAAAUGAUGAUGGCAUCUUCUGACCUACCUUGCCUGCUUACCAGACGGAGAGCCAAGUUAGAGACGCACUGAGUUUUGAGCACAGUGAGAAAAGCACUCACUUCAAUGUGUGACAUUGACAAUCAGGUUUGAGUGACACACAGUGGGGUUAGAAUCUCUUUUGUAUCAUGUAUCUGCACCUUUGGGUGUUUUGGUCUUGUGUUGCACUCCUAUAGGCAUGUUUUUGCUGUGCCUGUAUUUAUAUUCAAAAGGUUACUGAUAAUGACCCAGAUAUAUUUCUAUAUUAACUUGGGCCAUAACAUCAUAGGCUCUGAUUGUGUAAAGGCGUGCUGCAUAAAGAGGCAAACAUUAUGGAGGAGUAUAAUUAUGAGAUUUGAUAUUUCCAGAUAUAUGAUAUUGCCUUGUUUGAAUUUGUUUUGUUUAAAAAUUAAAAAAAAAUUGAGAAAAAAGCUAAAUCAAGCUUAAAAGCUUAUGAUGUUUAAUUUGUGUGUUAUUGAAGAAUGUGAACUUGUCAUCAGGUAGAUGAUAAAACCCUACAUUUCCUGAAACAGUACUGAUGAUAUCACUUUUGUUUUCUUAACUGCCCUGAUAAUAAUGUAUAUUUCUCCACAUCCCCAACCUCUACAGAUUCAAGAUAGUGACUUUAAAUCCUGCCAUUAAAAAAUAAAAAAUGGGAUUGAAAACAGAACAUGAACUCAAAAUAAGAACCUUGGUAUUAUUACACUUGUAUUGAAAAAAUGUGUAUUGACACUGAAAAAGUAAUGGCACUGAAAAAUAAAAUAAUGUCUUUAAGCA